GUUUCUAUACUGCAUCACGUGCCAAAGCAGAGUUCCCUUCUCCUGUCAGUGCAUUACAAGUUUAUGUCAUGAAUGUAUGGUGAAUUUUGUCAAAUAUUUUCUUCUACAUCCCUUGUGAUGAUCAUAUGGCAUUAUGAACUGAAUAUUUUUUUCCCCUAAUAUUCAUUUGUUGAAGCCCUAAGCCCCAGUGUGGCUGUUUGGAGAUGGACCCCUAAGCAUAUAAUUAAGGUUAAGUGAGGUCAUGAGGGUGGGGCCCUGAUCCAAUAGCAUUAGUGUCCUUAUAAAAAGAGAUGCUAGGGAACUUGUGCUCUCUCUCCCCACGUGCAGGCACCAAGGAAAGGGCAGGUGAGGACAGAGGGAGAAGCUAGCCAUCUGCAGGCCAGGAAGAAAGCUCUCAUCGGAAACUGAAUCAGGUGUGACCUUGAUCAUGGACUUCCAGCCUCCAGAAUUGUGAGGAAGUAAAUUGCUGCUGUUUAAGCCUCCCAAACUAUAGGACUUGGUUACGGCAGCUCAAGCAGACGAAUAAAUAUGGUGUUUAUUUUCAAGUCUUCUAAUAUGAUGUGUCAACAGUUCCUCAUAUGACAGAGUUGGGAGACCAUUCAUCUGCUCUUGCUCCAACUUGGACUGUCACUCAUUUACGUCCACAGUUGAAUGGCAUGCUCCAGAUGGGCUCUGACAUCAACAGGACUUCACCUGGUGAUGGCCAGCUUCUCUCCUUCCCUUCCAGGAAGUCACAGAAAGAAGAAGAGCCUCCUUCCCUCACUGACCACACCCUACUUUCUUGUAUUCUAUUCUCAGGGGGAGGAGUUUUAGAGCAGAUGUUUGCUUCUUAUACUCACAGUAGCCUGGCCUCUGAACCCCCUUUUCCUCUGUAUGACUUUUUCGUACCUGUUUUUGAGUCCAGCUCCUAUCCUUGCUUGAUCAUUCUUGUCUCAUCUCCCAGCCUUAUCCUGGAAUUCCUUCCAAUAUUCAUUGAACAUUCCAUUUUGGAGAUGCAUCCCCUCACCUCUUGAUGCUCAGAAGGUGAGGGCAGAUGAGGAAAGCUCAGAGUUCCUGAUCAGGGCUUCUAAGGUGGGCAACCACCCAGCAUAGAGCCAGUGAAGGCUCUUUCAAAAGUGACUGGUCAAGUGCCUGACUUGUCUCCUAUCAUUGCAUCUUGGAAAGAGUUGGAAAGGGGGAGCUGGAAAGGUGAUGCCCCAAAGCAAGGAGGCGGGAGAAGGGAACGGCACUUCACAGUCCUUCUGUGGUCGAUCUCAUUUCUAGUUACUGAGCAAUGUCUUUUCUUUGUGGUCUGAGCCCACAUGCUUAUUUCCCUCAUUCCUAACAUGAGAAUAAUAAUAUUACCUUCCUCAUGGGCUUGUUGUGAAAAUUAAACGAUAUAAUGACUGUAAAGUGCUUAGAGCAAUAAGUGCCCCACAAAUGGUGGCUAUUAGUAUUUUCAGCCUACUUGUAGAUUUAAUUAUUUCAAUUAACAAAGCACCAGGCAGCGGAUGAGAAUAACACCCUUACAUUUUUACCUCUUGCUUUAGAGCUUUCUCAUACAUCAUCUCCUCCAAGCCUCAUUACAACCCUGGAGGAGGCAGCAUAGCAGACCCUUAUUGACCUUCACAUAAUGAGGAUGCAAUGAAGACUUGGAUAAAUGAAAAAGUAGUACCAGAAUUUGUCCAUGACUCCCUAUCACCACGUUUUCCCCCAUCAUCCUGUUUUGCUUUUAAUGAAGGUUGUUGAGAAGCAACAAGGAUUGACUUAGAUGAGCCUUAACUUCUGUCUGACAGCCCCUACUUCCAUUUUAUUCUUAUUCUGCCUCCUUCAGCACCCUGUAGGAGGACUCAGCAACAGCCCCCAGUUUGAGGCUGAGGCUUAUCCCAGGCCUAACUCGGUCAUUAAAAUAGCAGGAAAUUACUCAGCCCUGUAUGUUGCUUCAUAGUUUUGACCUUCACUAGCAACUCUGGAUUCAGGCCAGCUCUCAGCUCUGGACUUCCACCUUGCAAUAAGAACUGUGAAAGAUCUGGGAUUUUACCCUACCUAAAAUCUAAUAGGUUAACCUACUACAAUUCUUGGGUGCUGGCAGAAGAUGCGAAACUCUUGGGUCAGAAACAAAGGAGAGCUUAUUAUUCACAGCAAUAGCAGUAGCCAGAAUAUCAUCAUUGAUGCUGGUUUCCUGAACCCCAAUUCCCAUAGGGCAAUACAGUGAGGGCCAGGUAACUUCUGCACACACAGUGGGCUGUGUUACAGGAGAGGAAUCCCAAAUUUAAGAAACUCCAAUCUUUUAGAGAAGCUGUAAGCAAGGCUGCCCAACCUUUGCCCUGGAGAGAGACAUUAUUGGUCAGCAACAAAUCUGCCUUCUGCCUCAGAGGGAGACACUAUUUCUACAUUCUGGAGCUAUUUGUUAUACAAACAUUUCCCUCGGAAGAUAGUUUCCAACAAAAGCUCUCAGUGCCUCUACUCAUAAGAUGUGCAGAAACUUGAAAGACCGGUGGAAAAUUGACUCCCAAUACCUUGUCCUCCCACCUCUGUGGUCCGCCCAGUUAUUCCGCUCAUAGGUUCUGGGACAUUCUCAAUACGUAUAAUAAAUAGCCAUGGCCUUCCUAGGCUUAUCACAGCACUGUUAUGAAGUCAAAAGCCAGGAGAUUUUUUUAAGGCUAUUGUGCCUUGUGCUGCAUGCCGGCCUCACGGACACAGGCAAUGUGCCUGGCUUCUCAGGGAAAGAUGAAGUGUGAUCCAGAGUUCUGAAACCAGUAUGGAUAUGAGUAUGAAAUCUGAGAUAGAUUAGAGGAGACGCUGGCAUGGUUUGUAUAAUGAUGUCCUAACCCAUUUCUCUAAUAAUCAAACUUAAGGAGUCUCUAACAACGAACGUUAACUUACUGCAAGGUAUGAGCAGUUAACCAAUAUAGCUUCUCUUGAUGUUUGCUCACUUGAAGUUUAUGAAUCCUGAUGGACAAACACAGAGCUGGCUCAAAUCAAGGGAAGUUCACUCUGAUUGAGCUGACCUCUCACUUUCAUGGCUCAUCUAAACAUUCCUCCAUCCUUUUACCAUUAGAUAAAGAUUUAUUGCAGUGUUACCUUGUGCUGGGCUUUUAAGCUUAAAUACUAAACACCAAGGUGCAGACUGAACAACACCAUUAGCCUGGCCGGACUAAAAUGACCUGCCAUGAAGUUCCUUCUGCUCUGCCAACAUGAGCUUUGCAAACACGUACACUCUUUUCUCUAGCAAUUCCACAUUUAGGGACUUAUCCUUGGGAAACGAUCAGAGAUGGACAAAAUGGCUUUUCUGAGGAUUAAAUAAAGUAAUACAAAC
ensembl:lncRNA